rnacentral:rRNA from 1 species
ACGGGUGAGUAACACGUGGGUAACCUGCCUGUAAGACUGGGAUAACUCCGGGAAACCGGGGCUAAUACCGGAUGGUUGUUUGAACCGCAUGGUUCAAACAUAAAAGGUGGCUUCGGCUACCACUUACAGAUGGACCCGCGGCGCAUUAGCUAGUUGGUGAGGUAACGGCUCACCAAGGCGACGAUGCGUAGCCGACCUGAGAGGGUGAUCGGCCACACUGGGACUGAGACACGGCCCAGACUCCUACGGGAGGCAGCAGUAGGGAAUCUUCCGCAAUGGACGAAAGUCUGACGGAGCAACGCCGCGUGAGUGAUGAAGGUUUUCGGAUCGUAAAGCUCUGUUGUUAGGGAAGAACAAGUACCGUUCGAAUAGGGCGGUACCUUGACGGUACCUAACCAGAAAGCCACGGCUAACUACGUGCCAGCAGCCGCGGUAAUACGUAGGUGGCAAGCGUUGUCCGGAAUUAUUGGGCGUAAAGGGCUCGCAGGCGGUUUCUUAAGUCUGAUGUGAAAGCCCCCGGCUCAACCGGGGAGGGUCAUUGGAAACUGGGGAACUUGAGUGCAGAAGAGGAGAGUGGAAUUCCACGUGUAGCGGUGAAAUGCGUAGAGAUGUGGAGGAACACCAGUGGCGAAGGCGACUCUCUGGUCUGUAACUGACGCUGAGGAGCGAAAGCGUGGGGAGCGAACAGGAUUAGAUACCCUGGUAGUCCACGCCGUAAACGAUGAGUGCUAAGUGUUAGGGGGUUUCCGCCCCUUAGUGCUGCAGCUAACGCAUUAAGCACUCCGCCUGGGGAGUACGGUCGCAAGACUGAAACUCAAAGGAAUUGACGGGGGCCCGCACAAGCGGUGGAGCAUGUGGUUUAAUUCGAAGCAACGCGAAGAACCUUACCAGGUCUUGACAUCCUCUGACAAUCCUAGAGAUAGGACGUCCCCUUCGGGGGCAGAGUGACAGGUGGUGCAUGGUUGUCGUCAGCUCGUGUCGUGAGAUGUUGGGUUAAGUCCCGCAACGAGCGCAACCCUUGAUCUUAGUUGCCAGCAUUCAGUUGGGCACUCUAAGGUGACUGCCGGUGACAAACCGGAGGAAGGUGGGGAUGACGUCAAAUCAUCAUGCCCCUUAUGACCUGGGCUACACACGUGCUACAAUGGACAGAACAAAGGGCAGCGAAACCGCGAGGUUAAGCCAAUCCCACAAAUCUGUUCUCAGUUCGGAUCGCAGUCUGCAACUCGACUGCGUGAAGCUGGAAUCGCUAGUAAUCGCGGA